AUACUGGGAGAGGCGAUAUAUCACCUAUAGGGGGCGAUAUAUCGGCCCCACCUAUGUAUUUUUGAAAGCUUGGUUUUUCAAUUUUAAAAAUAGCCUUAACCUCUUGACUAGCCUUUAAAUAUUUUUGACUAAGUCUUAAGCACCUAUUGAACGAAUAUUCAAAUAUUUUUCAAUUAAUACUCAUUAUUUUUAUUCAAGCUAAAAGGAGGAAGUUCACUCCUUGAACUCUAUAAAUAGGACCUAGUACCCAGCCAUUUCUCUCAUUCUUCAAGCAGUGUUCAGAGCUUUCAAGCUCCUAGUGUUACUAUAGAGUAAUAAACACUUGGGUCGGGAUAUAAGCUAUAUAAUCUUAAGGUUUGUAAACACUUCGGAAGUAAGAUAAAUAGUGUGCUUUUCAAUAUUGGGGUGUAGUCCGGUUCUAAUGCAUCCAAAGGUAUUCUUAAUCUUAAGUUAAUUUCUGUAUGUUUCUUUAGUUUCCUUUAGUUUUCUUUACUCAAAUCCUAACUGGUUGUUUUCCAUUCUUGGUUAGGUAUUUAAGUUCUUUGAACUUAAGGUUUCUUUUCGGAGUGUUUCAAAUCCCGUCCUUGUUCUCAUAUCCUGGUCAUGGAAAAUUGUUAUGGCGGCGAAAGGAUUCUUGGCAGCUUGGUUUGUGUAUUAAGGAUGAAGGGAUUCGAUGGACUGCGUGAACGAUUCGAGGAGGACGUUAUUUUUAGUCUUUUUAUUAUGUUUUUAUAUAUUAUCCGCAUUUAGCUUUGUAAACAAUUUCAUUAAAGUUUAAAGUUAUAUUUUAUUUUCA